UACGAAGGGGGCUAGCGUUGCUCGGAAUCACUGGGCGUAAAGGGUGCGUAGGCGGGUCUUUAAGUCAGGGGUGAAAUCCUGAAGCUCAACUCCAGAACUGCCUUUGAUACUGGCGAUCUUGAGUCCGGGAGAGGUGAGUGGAACUGCGAGUGUAGAGGUGAAAUUCGUAGAUAUUCGCAAGAACACCAGUGGCGAAGGCGGCUCACUGGCCCGGUACUGACGCUGAGGUGCGAAAGCGUGGGGAGCAAACAGG
rnacentral:rRNA from 1 species